AUUUUUCAACACAAAAAUUCAACAUAAAACAGAUUCAUUCAGUGCAUUGUUCCAGGAAUGUAAUACCUUUGACACACAUGUUCUUUCACAAGGAAUAAUUUUUAAUAAAUCAAGUAAUGUGGUUUGAAAUAAGUUAAUACAAUGUGAUGUUGUUAUAGUAUUUCCUAUUGUUUGUCGCUGAACAAGCAACCGUCGUAUCCGGUGAAU
rnacentral:lncRNA from 1 species